rnacentral:rRNA from 1 species
CCUACGGGUGGCAGCAGUGGGGAAUAUUGCUCAAUGGGCGGAACCCUGAUGCAGCGACGCCGCGUGCGUGAAGAAGGCUCUAGGUAUGUUAAACUCUAUCAGCACGGAAGAAACUGACGGUACCUGUUUAAGAAGCCCCGUCUAACUACGUGCCAGCAGCCGCGGUAAUACGUCGGGGGCAGGCGUUAUCCGGAUUUACUGGGUGUAAAGGGGGCGUAGAGGGCAGCACAAGUCUGGAGUGAAAUGCCGGGGGUUAACCCCGGAACUGCAUUUGAAACUGUGCAGCUAGAGUGCAGGAGAGGCAAGUGGAAUUCCUGGUGUAGCGGUGAAAUGCGUAGAUAUUAGGAGGAACACCAGUGGCGAAGGCGGCCUACUGGAGUGUAACUGACGUUGAGGCUCGAAAGUGUGGGGAGCAAACAGGAUUAGAUACCCUAGUAGUC